rnacentral:rRNA from 1 species
AGAAUCAACGCUGGCGGCGUGCCUAACACAUGCAAGUCGAACGAGAAAGUGGUAGCAAUACCAUGAGUAAAGUGGCGCACGGGUGAGUAACACGUGACUAACCUACCCUGGAGUGGGGAUAACUGAGGGAAACCUUAGCUAAUACCGCAUAAUACCUACGGGUCAAAGGAGCAAUUCGCUUCAGGAGGGGGUCGCGGCCGAUUAGUUAGUUGGCGGGGUAAUGGCCCACCAAGACAGUGAUCGGUA